UGGUGGGUUGCCUUGUCAGGUUGAUUCCGGUAACGAACGAGACCUCAGCUUGCUAAAUAGUCAGCAUCGCACCUGCGGUGCGCCGACUUCUUAGAGGGACUAUUGGCGUUUAGCCAAUGGAAGUUUGAGGCGAUAACA
rnacentral:rRNA from 1 species